rnacentral:tRNA from 1 species
UAACUUUUAGUGUAAGAGCACAAAAAAUUUUGAUUUUUUUAGAAAUAAGUAAUAUUAUUAAAGUUAU